rnacentral:tRNA from 1 species
GCGCGCGGUGGCGGAGGUGCUGCGGGGCCGCACGGUGGCCGACGGCGUGCGCAUGCUGAUCGUGCCCGGUUCGAUGCGGGUGCGCGCGC